GUUUUUUUUAGCUCACCUGGCCCGAAGGGCCAAGUGAGCUCUUCUCAUUACUUGGCGUCCGUCGUCGUCGUUAACUUUUUACAUUUUGAACUUCUUCUAGAGAACCACUGAAUGGAAUGGAACCAAACAUGGCUUGAAUGUUCCUUAUGAGGUUCUGACCAAGUGUUGUUACUUUGUAGCCGAUCCAUCAUCCAAGAUGGCCGCCAGCAGGGGACUAAGUUUAACAUAGGAUCUAUGGGAAAUGCAUACAAAUGAUUUCUUUUAGAGAACCACUGAAUGGAAUGAAACCAAACAUGGCAUGAAUGUUUCUUAUGAGGUGCUGACCAAGUGUUGUUACUUUGUAGCCGAUCCAUCAUCCAAGACGGCCACCAGGGGGGGGACUUAGUUUAAUAUAGGACCCUAUGGGAAAUAUAUACAAAUGUCUUCUUUUAGAGAACCACUGAAUGGAAUGAAACCAAACAUGGCAUGAAUGUUCCUUAUAAGGUGUUGACCAAGUGUUGUUACUUUGUAGCAGAUCCAUCAUUCAAGAUGGCUGCCAGCAGGGGACAUAGUUUAACAUAGGACCCUACAGGAAAUAUUUCCAAAUGUCUUCUUUUAGAGAACCACUAAAUGGCAUGAAAACAAACAUGGCAUGAAUAUUCUUUAUGAGAUGCUGACCAAGUGUUGUUACUUUGUAGCCAAUCCAUCAUCAAAGAUGGCCGCCAGCAUGGGGACUUAGUUUAACAUAGGACCCUAUGGAAAUUAUAUACAAAUGUCUUCUUUUAAAGAACCACUGAAUGGAAUGGAACCAAACAUGGCAUGAAUGUUCCUUAUGAGGUGCUGACCAAGUGUUGUUACUUUGUAGCCGAUCCAUCAUCCAAGAUGGCCGCCAGCAGGGG
rnacentral:lncRNA from 1 species